rnacentral:piRNA from 1 species
UAAGUGUCCUCUCUACCAGGUGCUCU